rnacentral:rRNA from 1 species
GUGGGGAAUAUUGGACAAUGGGCGCAAGCCUGAUCCAGCAAUGCCGCGUGGGUGAAGAAGGCCUUCGGGUUGUAAAGCCCUUUUGUACGGAAAGAAAUCCUGGUGGUUAAUACCCGCCGGGGAUGACGGUACCGUAAGAAUAAGCACCGGCUAACUUCGUGCCAGCAGCCGCGGUAAUACGAAGGGUGCAAGCGUUAAUCGGAAUUACUGGGCGUAAAGCGUGCGUAGGUGGUUUCUUAAGUCUGUCGUGAAAGCCCUGGGCUCAACCUGGGAAGGGCGAUGGAUACUGGGAGGCUAGAGUGCGGUAGAGGAUGGCGGAAUUCCCGGUGUAGCGGUGAAAUGCGUAGAGAUCGGGAGGAACAUCUGUGGCGAAGGCGGCCAUCUGGACCAGCACUGACACUGAGGCACGAAAGCGUGGGGAGCAAACAGGAUUAGAAACCCCAGUAGUCC